ensembl:snRNA U6 U6 spliceosomal RNA
GUACUCCUUCAGUAGCACAUAUAAUAAAAAAAAAAGUGAUACAGAGAUUAGCACAGCUCCUGCAUAAGAAUGACACGCAAAUUCGUGAAGCAUUGUAUAUUUAG